rnacentral:rRNA from 1 species
GGUUAAGCGACUAAGCGUACACGGUGGAUGCCCUGGCAGUCAGAGGCGAUGAAGGACGUGCUAAUCUGCGAAAAGCGUCGGUAAGGUGAUAUGAACCGUUAUAGCCGGCGAUGUCCGAAUGGGGAAACCCAGUGCAAUUCGUUGCACUAUCGUUAACUGAAUACAUAGGUUAACGAGGCGAACCGGGGGAACUGAAACAUCUAAGUACCCCGAGGAAAAGAAAUCAACCGAGAUUCCCCCAGUAGCGGCGAGCGAACGGGGAGCAGCCCGGAGUCUGAAUCAGCUUGUGUGUUAGUGGAAGCGUCUGGAAAGUCGCAGGGUACAGGGUGAUACUCCCGUACACUAAAACACACAGGUUGUGAACUCGAAGAGUAGGGCGGGACACGUGGUAUCCUGUCUGAAUAUGGGGGGACCAUCCUCCAAGGCUAAAUACUCCUGACUGACCGAUAGUGAACCAGUACCGUGAGGGAAAGGCGAAAAGAACCCCGGCGAGGGGAGUGAAAAAGAACCUGAAACCGUGUACGUACAAGCAGUAGGAGCCCACUUGUUGGGUGACUGCGUACCUUUUGUAUAAUGGGUCAGCGACUUAUAUUCUGUAGCAAGGUUAACCGUAUAGGGGAGCCGCAGGGAAACCGAGUCUUAACUGGGCGUUAAGUUGCAGGGUAUAGACCCGAAACCCGGUGAUCUAGCCAUGGGCAGGUUGAAGGUUGGGUAACACUAACUGGAGGACCGAACCGACUAAUGUUGAAAAAUUAGCGGAUGACUUGUGGCUGGGGGUGAAAGGCCAAUCAAACCGGGAGAUAGCUGGUUCUCCCCGAAAGCUAUUUAGGUAGCGCCUCGUGAAUUCAUCUUCGGGGGUAGAGCACUGUUUCGGCUAGGGGGUCAUCCCGACUUACCAACCCGAUGCAAACUACGAAUACCGAAGAAUGUUAUCACGGGAGACACACGGCGGGUGCUAACGUCCGUCGUGAAGAGGGAAACAACCCAGACCGCCAGCUAAGGUCCCAAAGUCAUGGUUAAGUGGGAAACGAUGUGGGAAGGCCCAGACAGCCAGGAUGUUGGCUUAGAAGCAGCCAUCAUUUAAAGAAAGCGUAAUAGCUCACUGGUCGAGUCGGCCUGCGCGGAAGAUGUAACGGGGCUAAACCAUGCACCGAAGCUGCGGCAGCGACACUAUGUGUUGUUGGGUAGGGGAGCGUUCUGUAAGCCGUUGAAGGUGGCCUGUGAGGGUUGCUGGAGGUAUCAGAAGUGCGAAUGCUGACAUAAGUAACGAUAAUGCGGGUGAAAAACCCGCACGCCGGAAGACCAAGGGUUCCUGUCCAACGUUAAUCGGGGCAGGGUGAGUCGACCCCUAAGGCGAGGCCGAAAGGCGUAGUCGAUGGGAAACAGGUUAAUAUUCCUGUACUCGGUGUUACUGCGAAGGGGGGACGGAGAAGGCUAUGUUGGCCGGGCGACGGUUGUCCCGGUUUAAGCAUGUAGGCGGAUGUUCCAGGUAAAUCCGGAACGUCACUAACGCUGAGGUGUGAUGACGAGGCACUACGGUGCUGAAGUGACAAAUGCCCUGCUUCCAGGAAAAGCCUCUAAGCAUCAGGUAACAUCAAAUCGUACCCCAAACCGACACAGGUGGUCAGGUAGAGAAUACCAAGGCGCUUGAGAGAACUCGGGUGAAGGAACUAGGCAAAAUGGUGCCGUAACUUCGGGAGAAGGCACGCUGAUGGUAGGUGAAGCGACUUGCUCGUGGAGCUGAAAUCAGUCGAAGAUACCAGCUGGCUGCAACUGUUUAUUAAAAACACAGCACUGUGCAAACACGAAAGUGGACGUAUACGGUGUGACGCCUGCCCGGUGCCGGAAGGUUAAUUGAUGGGGUUAUCCGUAAGGAGAAGCUCUUGAUCGAAGCCCCGGUAAACGGCGGCCGUAACUAUAACGGUCCUAAGGUAGCGAAAUUCCUUGUCGGGUAAGUUCCGACCUGCACGAAUGGCGUAAUGAUGGCCAGGCUGUCUCCACCCGAGACUCAGUGAAAUUGAACUCGCUGUGAAGAUGCAGUGUACCCGCGGCAAGACGGAAAGACCCCGUGAACCUUUACUAUAGCUUGACACUGAACACUGGUCCUUGAUGUGUAGGAUAGGUGGGAGGCUUUGAAGUGUGGACGCCAGUCUGCAUGGAGCCAUCCUUGAAAUACCACCCUUUAAUGGCUGGUGUUCUAACGUGGGCCCCUAAUCGGGGUUGCGGACAGUGUCUGGUGGGUAGUUUGACUGGGGCGGUCUCCUCCUAAAGAGUAACGGAGGAGCACGAAGGUCAGCUAAUCCUGGUCGGACAUCAGGAGGUUAGUGCAAUGGCAUAAGCUGGCUUGACUGCGAGCGUGACGGCGCGAGCAGGUGCGAAAGCAGGUCAUAGUGAUCCGGUGGUUCUGAAUGGAAGGGCCAUCGCUCAACGGAUAAAAGGUACUCCGGGGAUAACAGGCUGAUACCGCCCAAGAGUUCAUAUCGACGGCGGUGUUUGGCACCUCGAUGUCGGCUCAUCACAUCCUGGGGCUGAAGUAGGUCCCAAGGGUAUGGCUGUUCGCCAUUUAAAGUGGUACGCGAGCUGGGUUUAGAACGUCGUGAGACAGUUCGGUCCCUAUCUGCCGUGGGCGCUGGAGAAUUGAGGGGGGCUGCUCCUAGUACGAGAGGACCGGAGUGGACGCAUCACUGGUGUUCGGGUUGUCAUGCCAAUGGCAUUGCCCGGUAGCUAAAUGCGGAAGAGAUAAGUGCUGAAAGCAUCUAAGCACGAAACUUGCCCCGAGAUGAGUUCUCCCUGACCCUUUAAGGGUCCUGAAGGAACGUUGAAGACGACGACGUUGAUAGGCCGGGUGUGUAAGCGCAGCGAUGCGUUGAGCUAACCGGUACUAAUGAACCGUGAGGCUUAACCUU